GGUCUCUGAACUGAUGACCGGCAGGGAAAAUGUAGCUUCUCAUCUCCCAGAAAUUUGAGGAAUUUUCAUCUCUAUUUCUACAGAGUUGCUGCUCUUCUCUACAUUAGCGCUUUCAGAUUAUUCUAGAACUUUUUGGGGUUCUCUCUCAGUUACAGAAAAUGCUGUUGUGAGGGAAAGAUGGAGCAGAGCCGACAGAAAGAGAAAUAAUUCCACCCAACUCUGCUAGGUUUCCCAUCAUCUCCUCUCCCUGCUAGUCCAGCCAGUGCUCAAAUGGGGGAGAUAGGAGGACCACCUCUGCCUACCAUCUUUAGUACAAUAAAGCAGCCAGGCAGUGUCUGUUUCAUGACCCUGUAGCAAUCAGAGCGAGAAUCAGGACAGUUUAUCAAAGCCAAAAGUUUCUGUUAAAGCUUGUUUUUUUUUAAAAAAAAAAUAAAUUAGAGGUAAAAUAUUUGUCAUUAUGCAUACAAUAUGCCACUUACAAAAAAGACUUAGAAGUUAGAGAUCUGAGGAGCGAAGUAUUCCUAGUGUUAUAGAAAUGACCCCGAGAGAGGAGGGAACGUGCACACCUGCAAAGAGACAGAAGAAGAAAUCUUCUUUUUCAGUUCCAAGAAGGCACAGAAAUAAAAAUGCAUGUUUCAGUGCUGAGCUGCUUCCUGUGACAUGUGGUGACAUGAAGGGAACAUUACACAAGGAUAAAUUCAAGCAAGGAAUCUUCGUGAAGUCCAUACAGAGUGAAGCUGGGGACUGGUACACACCCACUGAGUUUGAAAUCUUGGGAGGACGCGAACGAUCAAAGAACUGGAAAUUGAGUGUGCGCUGCUACAAUUGGCCCCUGAAAUUGCUGAUUCAGAGAAACUUUCUCCCCAGUUUUUGAGGAACUUACGGCAAGAGAAAAAAGAGAAUGAGACCCUGUGGAUUGCUUCCAGACCAAUAAUAUGGUUUCAUGGACCCCACCCUCCUAAAACGUUGCCAUAAAUACCCUCAAGAAAUUACUUCACUCAUCUGCCAACUGAGA